GUAUAAUCUAAUCCACUGGGUGAUGAUUACAUAUUACUGAAAAUUCUAGUUUUGAAUAAACUCUUCUCAUAUUGGAAAAUUAUAUAUUUCCUAUCACAUUCAUGCUCACUACCGUGCUUUUUUUAACAACUUAUUGACUACUAAUAAUGUAAUUCAUCACAUACAAUGCAUGCAUGAAACACUAUAGUUUAUAUCGAUCACUGUACUUUAUCAAGGUUCUAAGCUAUGAUAUUCUCUUCCAGUUGGAAAUGUGGAGACAUUGCUUCAACAAUAUACUAAAAAUGAGUGAUAAUCGUUUUUAGGUAAAUAGAAUAUUGGCAAAAAGUUAAUUUCGACGUUUUAUUAUAGGGUCAUUCUCGCCUUCUUCUUUUUUGCAUCCCAGAAAACUCAUAAUGCAAUUCCAGCAACGAGUUAGACAACUCGCAAAGCGAGACCAGAAUGACGAACAGCAAGAAUUACAGAAAAACCAGCACGACCAACAGCAGGAAUAGGAUGGAAUUUCUUUGAUAAUAUCUACACAUGUUUCUCCAUGGACCCUUUUUAGCUCAAUCUCGUUUCCGCAAGAUCCAGACCAGAAACACAAGGAAAUAUGAUCACCAUAGCACUUAAUCACCAAAUUCUUACGAUAUGAUUCUUUAGCCUCUGUGACAGUCAUACGUGCCCUUUCCAUCACCCAUUUACAAUUCUGACAGUUUUGUUGGCAAUGGUCACGGUAUUCAUUUAUUCGUUCAUGGGUCACUGCUGGAUUACAAUCGAUUUGUACAAGUUGAUCUUCCUAGUAACACAAUAGUAAAAAAUAGUACUCUCGAAUAAGCUCACUAUUUUAUAAUAUUGAGUGUGAGAAGUUAAAACCAGGCAACGACAUGAAACGAGAUUAUUCUUACAUUUUGUUUAUAUUUGACAAAACCAUAUGAUAUCACUAAAACUUUACUUGCCUUUUAAAAGUAUUAAUUAUAGGGCGAGAAUUGACAUGAAAUAUAGCGAAGAGUUAGUCAAACUUUAUAAGUGUUGGGGGCGGUUGUGAGACGUUGAGGUGAUGUAAAAUAAGAAAUAGUUUGAACAACAACGGCGUACUGGAAUGUUGCAUACAAUCCAUAGUCGACUUUUGAGUGAAAAUGCUAAUUUUAAUAAACACGUUUUCAUUGAUGUUGCCGUUAUAUUUAAGACUAUGUCUCUUGUAAUACACAUGUAACAAGAUGUGUUGUCAAAAACAAAGAUAAUUUUAUCUAAUUGCUACAAGAUUGUUGACACUCGCAACUUGUUGACAAGUUAAUUGUUGGAGUUGGAUGCCGUUAAAAAUUGAUGGGAAAACGUAA